GCCAGGCAUGGUGGCGCAUGCCUGUAAUCCCAGCUACUUGGGAGGCUGAGGCAGGAGAAUCGCUUGAGCCCAGGAGGCGGAGGUUGCAGUGAGCCAGGAUCGCGCCACUGCACUCCAGCCUGGGCUACAGAGUGAGACUCCAUCUCCA
rnacentral:SRP_RNA from 1 species